GGCCAGACUCCUACGGGAGGCAGCAGUGGGGAGUAUUGCACAAUGGGGGAAACCCUGAUGCAGCGACGCCGCGUGAGCGAUGAAGUAUUUCGGUAUGUAAAGCUCUAUCAGCAGGGAAGAAAAUGACGGUACCUGACUAAGAAGCCCCGGCUAAAUACGUGCCAGCAGCCGCGGUAAUACGUAUGGGGCAAGCGUUAUCCGGAUUUACUGGGUGUAAAGGGAGCGUAGGCGGCCUGGCAAGCCUGAUGUGAAAUACCGGGGCCCAACCCCGGGGCUGCAUUGGGAACUGCCAGGCUGGAGUGCCGGAGAGGCAGGCGGAAUUCCUAGUGUAGCGGUGAAAUGCGUAGAUAUUAGGAGGAACACCAGUGGCGAAGGCGGCCUGCUGGACGGUGACUAACGCUGAGGCUCGAAAGCGUGGGGAGCAAACAGGAUUAGAUACCCGGGUA
rnacentral:rRNA from 1 species